GUAGGUGGCAAGCGUUGUCCGGAAUUAUUGGGGCGUAAAGCGCGCGCAGGCGGUUCUUUAAGUCUGAUGUGAAAGCCCACGGGCUCAACCGUGGAGGGUCAUUGGAAACUGGAGAACUUGAGUACAGAAGAGGAAAGCGGAAUUCCACGUGUAGCGGCGAAAUGCGUAGAGAUGUGGAGGAACACCAGUGGCGAAGGCGGCUUUCUGGUCUGUAACUGACGCUGAGGCGCGAAAGCGUGGGGAGCAAACAGGAUUAGAUGCCCUGGUAGUCCACGCCGUAAACGAUGAGUGCUAAGUGUUAGGGGGUUUCCGCCCCUUAGUGCUGCAGCUAACGCAUUAAGCACUCCGCCUGGGGAGUACGGCCGCAAAGGCUG
rnacentral:rRNA from 1 species